rnacentral:snRNA from 1 species
GGAUGUGAGGGUGAUCUGGCUGUGACAUCUGUCACCCCAUUGAUCGCCAGGGUUGAUUGGACUGAUCUAGCUGGCUAGGUGGGUGUCCCCUUCCUCCCUCACAGCUCCAUGUGUGUCCCUCCUGAAGCUGUGCGUGCUCAGUUGAAGAGGAUGGCUUUCCUCAAAUAGAGACGGGCGAGUCUUUGGUCAAGGGUAUACAAGUAGCUGUGCUCCCCACUAGAACCUCCAAACAAGCUCUCAAGAUGAGGGAGAGAUAGAAAGGAAGAGAAGCAGCUUUCUGUGAAGCUUUCCCUCUGCAGGUGGGAACCAGGGACUUGAA